UGAGACGGAGUCCCGCUCUGUCACCAAGGCGGUAGUGCAGUGGCGUGAUCUCGGCUCACUGCUGAUACGGCUCCCAUGAGUGGAGGGACACCAGGGCUCUUGUCUUACCUUGAAUUAGGUAAAACAACACUGACACACGUGGAGUGGUUUUAAAGAGCGGAGAGUUUAAUAGGCAAGAAAGAAGGCAGAACUUAGAGGCUUCCCCUUACAGAGACAGAGGGAGGGGGGCUCCAAAGCCGAAAGAGGAGGGCCCCAAGUGUGGUGGACGCCAGCCAGGUAUACAUGCAGAGGCCGGAGGAGGCGAUCUGAUUUGCACAGGGCUUAGCGGAUUGGUUUGACCAGGCAUGUUUUAUUCACGUAGCAGGGAAAAAGCUGGCCCUCCCUUCCUAGCCUUUUAAUAUGCAAAUGCAGGGCGCUGUGACGUUCUACGCAUGUGGGGAUAUGUGGCGGACGUUGCCAGGAACAUGUGGGGCAAGGGCAAGAAGGCAGCAGUAACCGCCAUGUUUGGGAAAAGCUCCAGAAACUCCCCUAGCAAGGCUGGAUCUCUCCAAGCUUCAGAAAGAGGAAGACAACUGAACAGGCAGGGCUCGCAUCUUCUUUAGAGGCGGUGGAGUUGGGGGACAGCUGGUAACAGGAUAGAUAGCAACAACCACCUUGAAGAUAAUGCACGAAGUGUCGGCACUGCACAGUACAUGAAUGAUCUCACUUAACUCCCGUGCAAACCCUAUGCCAUGGCUGCUAUUAUCAUUCACGUUUACAGGAUGAGGAAACUAAUGCUCAUGCAGGGUGAAAGCCUCCCUUCCCUACAUCAUAAUCAUCAGAGCAUAUUUAAUUCCUCUCUGGGAGGGAGCCCUUUGGGAACUGCUGGCGGGAGCCUAAAUGAGUCCUCUUACCUCCUUCUUACGUGCCUAGGCUGGAGGUGGCAUGGCAUCAUAAAAGCUAAAGUCUUAAGGUCUUUCAAUCUGUAUCUUCUUCAAAUUUCAGCAUCUUAGUUUUGCAAA